CGAACGGGUGAGUAAUGCAUCGGAACGUGCCCAAUCGUGGGGGAUAACGCAGCGAAAGCUGUGCUAAUACCGCAUACGAUCUACGGAUGAAAGCGGGGGACCUUCGGGCCUCGCGCGAUUGGAGCGGCCGAUGUUAGAUUAGCUAGUUGGUGGGGUAAAAGCUCACCAAGGCGACGAUCUGUAGCUGGUCUGAGAGGACGACCAGCCACACUGGAACUGAGACACGGUCCAGACUCC
rnacentral:rRNA from 1 species